rnacentral:lncRNA from 1 species
ACCACAAAGCCUAAAGGAGCCUAGAACUGUUAGAAAAUUAUACAUUCAUUGAAAGAGUUCAUUUCAAUAAAGAGGCCUCGAAGAAAAUCACUCUUCUCCUGCAAACACACACCACCUGCGGGGAGAGGAGGCCGGUUGUAAGUGAUGGAAGGGGCACACUACUACUGGAUUUUAUGGAGGUGGGAGAAAACGAUCAAAGGGAGUCCUUUCACCUUCCCUGUUUUAUAAAUGGCAAACCUUUCCUAAACAAGCUGUCCAUCCAACCGCCAAAACCACAGGACAAGAAUUUCUACUCAAGGGGGAAACAGCAAGAAAGAAAAAAAGGUCACCAUUCCUAGAGCAGAGUUGCUUCUGGGAAGCAAUUGCCUGGCCAGAGACUACAUUUCCCAGCCUCCCUUGCACGGAUGUGGGACUAUGGACUAGCUCUUAUCAGUGAAACAAGAGCAGAGCUGAAGAGUGAGUUUAGAUGCCACUGAUACAAUCCCAACAUCACAAAAUGGAAGGAGUUUGGGUUCCAGAGUAACCAGCCUCACAGGAGAGCUGCCAGACUUGCCUUGGACAGUGACACGAGGGAGAAACAAACGUAUAUGUGAGAUCGCUGAGGUCAUGUUACCGCGACUGAAGUAAGAUAAGGUGGUGUCCGGAGUAUGGGGUCUGGAGCUUGACUACCUGGAUUCAAAUCCCUGCUCAGUCAUCUCUUGGCUGUGUGACUUAAGGUAAGUUACUUACCCUCUCUGUGCCUCAAUGUCUUCAUCUGGUGGAUGGAGCUCACAGACUCUAGUCUGUCAUAGGGUAGCUGUGAAGAUUAGACGAGUCGAUGCAUGUAGAGAGCUUCUAACAGUGCUUGACCUUGAGCAGCCAUUCAGUACAUUAUACAUUAGCAAGGUGGGAUAAGGAAAUGGGGGUUUGGGAAGGUGAAUGGCUGACUCCAAAGCACUUACGUUGGGAUCCACAGUGGAAACUCUUCUAAUCUUUUAUCAACAACCAGAUGAGAAGAUACAUCUGCUUCUGCUUCUAAGAGUCGGUGAUUCUCAUCCUUCUCUCUGCACUUGCCCUUGCCGUGUCCUUGGUCAGCACAGAGGAAGGACAACAGCCCAUCUCCCUCACAUCGGAAGUGGCUCCACAAGUUGGCCUUCACUGCCAUCAACCCUAACAGGUGUGGUGCUCUAUCUCCACAGUCCUCCAGAGCGCCCUCAAGUCCCUCAGGGUGUCUUUACUCCAAGAAGGGGUUCUAGACUAGACAAGCAGAGGUGUUGCAGAAAGGAAGAUACUGCAAAGGAUUCAGGCAGCAAAGGGUGUGCUCCCCACACUGGGGAAGACAUCUGGGCAGAAGGGCCUGGGCUGGACCUCACAUCCAUCCCUCUUCCCUUGGGGUCCUUGACCACCCUUGAGAAUGGCACCUACAUGCUCUAAUUCUCCAUAAAAUCCAGAGGCAAAAUGUCCCUGCUGUAAAGACCUUGAACCCUUUUUGGGAAGGUUUUAUGAACUUAAUAUCAUGGGUUGCUCUAACCCCAACCUUUGUCCUGACAGCAUCUGCUCAGGGAGUUUGAGAUUCAGCCAGUCUGUAAAGAGCUUCAGAUCCAGGGCUUUGAGGUGGGGAGAAGUGGUCACCUUGGAGAAAGCAGGAAACUGUGGCCAGCUGGGGCAUUCUUUGCUAUAGAUUCCAAGAGACAAACUUGCUGAUCCCAGGUCAAGUCUGCCCCUGCUUCCCUGCAUCUAGAACCAUCUCUGGCUCCACCUCCCAUUAACACCCCAGAACAGAUUCCCUACCCACCUCCUCAAGAAGAACAUUGCCUCCGGGGAUUUUCUAAGAGUUUUUAGGAUAAGCAGCAGUUAGAAGCUAACAAUAAGUAAAAUUUCCAGAAAUCAAGAGAAACUUGCAAUGUUCCUUGACACUUUAAAUGAUGCACUUGAAACAAGAGGCUUACAUUAGGAUCUAAAUUAGAGUUCUUGAGUGGCUUUUUGUAUUUUUUCUUUCACGUUAACCUGACUACAACUUUAUCUUCUCCAUUCACUUCCAAGAAGUCCUUAUAUAAUAAAGAGUUGAAGGNGCCAAUAAAAAGUUGCUUCCAGAGUUAUAAAGUCAGUUUUCUUAACCUCUCAAUCUCAACUCAACUCAAAUUACAAAGUUUACAUGCCUUUGGGGAUGGCUGUAUUAAGUAAAUAGAGAGGAAUGGUCACAUUCAGUGUAAGCUAAAACACCCAAGGCUGGCAGUAGGAAAAGGAGCUACCUACCUAUCAGGUCUUUCAUAAAGCCAGUCCCUUAAGUAGAAAGAAUAAAGUUCUCUCAAGACUUACCCUAUGGACUGCCUUUCACAGCUGGUUCAUAUUUAUAAGCCAAUUUGUCUGGAAGUAAAUCUCUUUAACACACCCAACUGACUCCAAGAGGUGUGUCCCAUGGGAACCAAUCUUAAAUAACUGUCUCAAGAAAAGUUUUAGCAGCAAUAUUGUCAGUCCUGGAAUUUCCACCUUUGGGGGGAAAAAAAAUCAACAAUAGAAUGCUUGGAAAUACAGAAUACACAGAGUUUAGCAAACUGCCAAAUUAAAUUCAGACACACACACACAAAUUUGCUAAUACCUGGUUAAAGAGUUGGCAUGGGAAGAAACAGACUUCUCAUUCAAGCCUGAAGCUCGGUAAUGGGUCAUUUGACCUGAAAUAACUUGGGCGGAAGUUGGCCUUAUUGUCUUCCACAAUCUCUUCCCACACAGUCAAAAAAGGGGAUGCAAUCUUAA